UGAGGAAUAUUGGUCAAUGGGCGGGAGCCUGAACCAGCCAAGUCGCGUGAGGGAUGACGGCCCUAUGGGUUGUAAACCUCUUUUGCCGGGGAGCAAAGUGCCGCACGUGUGCGGUUUGGAGAGUACCCGGAGAAAAAGCAUCGGCUAACUCCGUGCC
rnacentral:rRNA from 1 species